GCCUACGGGACGCAGCAGUGAGGAAUAUUGGUCAAUGGGCGCGAGCCUGAACCAGCCAAGUAGCGUGAAGGAUGACUGCCCUACGGGUUGUAAACUUCUUUUAUAAAGGAAUAAAGUGAGGCACGUGUGCCUUUUUGUAUGUACUUUAUGAAUAAGGAUCGGCUAACUCCGUGCCAGCAGCCGCGGUAAUACGGAGGAUCCGAGCGUUAUCCGGAUUUAUUGGGUUUAAAGGGUGCGUAGGUGGUUAAUUAAGUCAGCGGUGAAAGUUUGUGGCUCAACCAUAAAAUUGCCGUUGAAACUGGUUG
rnacentral:rRNA from 1 species